UCAGCCGCAACUACCUCCUGAGUCACUGGCUUCCUCGGCAAAGAAGUAGCUUUUUCCACACUCGUUGCUACCUCAUCUUCAUCUCUCACCUUAUUGGUUUGCCUCAGAUUCUUUAAUUUAAGUGGAGAAGCAGAUUUUUCCACACUCGUUGCUACCUCCUCAGCAACUCUCGCCUUCCUGGUUUGCCUCGCGUUCUUCAAUUUCAGUGGAGAGGCAACUUCUUCCACACUCGUUGCUACCUCCUGUUCAUCUCUCGCCAGAGAAGCCAGCAAAUAACCAAGAAUAAGAAGUAAGAGGGGUCAUGUAAGUAAGUAGUCUUUGCAAUGAGUGUGAGUGUUAUAGAGUUUGUAUCUAAAAAGUGAAAGAGUGUCAUAACUUUUAAAAUUUUAUUUGAAAGAUUGUGUUUUGUAAUAUUUAUGAGUGUAAUACAAGUAAUUUAUUUACUUGUUUUAUCUUCCCAAAAAAUUUCUGAAAAUCGUCGUGAAAUUUGUACUUGCAUAUUAAAUUUAAUUGAUGUUGAGUAGGGGCUUAAUUGGACUAUUUGAGGAGGUUCAAGCAUGCACUCACUACCUUCGUGUUCACAGGGAGAAAUUUCAUGGUCCAGAAGUUGAAUCACGUGUUUUUUCCGACUCAAGAGUCAAGACAAAAAAGAGCAGAAAACGACAUUCUCCAUAUACACGAAAGAUGAACUAAUGGAUUCUCGCGCAUUCAACUUUCACAAUACACAAAAAUUACAAAUUAAUCAAAGCCG
rnacentral:lncRNA from 1 species